UGUAAGCGUAUACCAAAGUUGUUGCAGUUAAAACGCUCGUAGUCGGAAUUUGGCAGUUCCGGAUGUGUGCACGUCGUGUGCGCACUUCGCGGGGAUUGCUUUUGUGGUCUUGCGUAGGAUGAGGCACUUUUAUUAGUGAACGUCCUCACGCAACCACUUUUUACUGUGAGAAAAUCAGAGUGCUCAAAGCAGGCAUUUGCCGUGAAUGUAUUAGCAUGGAAUAAUAGAAUAGGACUUGGUUCUAUUUUGUUGGUUUGUUGGGACUGAGUAAUGAUUAAGAGGGACAGUUGGGGGCAUUUGUAUUUCGGUGCUAGAGGUGAAAUUCUUAGAUUACCGAAAGACAAACUGGUGCGAAAGCGUCUGCCAAGGAUGUUUUCAUUGA
rnacentral:rRNA from 1 species